rnacentral:piRNA from 1 species
GGAUGCUAUGAAGAUUGUUGAAAUGACU